AGCUCCAGUAGCGUAUAUUAAAAUUGUUGCAGUUAAAAAGCUCGUAGUUGGAUUUCUGGUAUUGUGGGGCUGGUCCGUGCCUUCUGGGUUACGUGUAUCAGUUUCUGCUUACCAUCUCUUCUGGAUACUCCUGUGCCCUUAAAAGCGCAGGAUCCGCACAUCCAGAUCUUUUACUUUGAAAAAAUUAGAGUGUUUAAAGCAGGCUUACGCUAUGAAUACAUUAGCAUGGAAUAAUGAUUUAGGACUUUUGUCCUUUUGUUGGUUUUCUAGGACGAAAGUAAUGAUUGAUAGGGACAGUUGGGGGUGCUAGUAUUUCGUCAACAGAGGUGAAAUUCUUGGACCGACGAAAGACUAACUUAUGCGAAAGCAUUCACCAAGGAUGUCUUCU
rnacentral:rRNA from 1 species